rfam:Tetraodon nigroviridis chromosome 4 SCAF14533, whole genome shotgun sequence.
AUGCAGUGAUGACUUGAAUUUCUUCACCUGAUGGCUUCAGUGAUGCGUAUUGAGCUUUUUAACCCUGAGCAUU